ACGCUCAUUUUGGCAGCACAUAAACUAAAACAGAAACGAUACAGAUUAGCAUGGUCUCUGUGCAAGGAUGACAAAUGAAUAGAAGCAGCACCAAAUGAUGGU
ensembl:snRNA U6 U6 spliceosomal RNA